AUGGGCGGCGACCGGCAAACGGGUGCGGAACACGUACACAACCUUCCUUUCAGCGAGGAAUAGCCCAGAGAAAUUUGGAUUAAUACCUCAUAGUAUAUCGGUCAGGCAUCUGAUUGUUAUUAAAGAUUUAUCACUGAAAGAUGGGUGUGCGGCUGAUUAGAUAGUUGGCGGGGUAACGGCCCACCAAGUCUGCGAUCAGUAACUGGUGUGAGAGCACGACCAGUCACACGGGCACUGAGACACGGGCCCGACUCCUACGGGAGGCAGCAGUAAGGAAUAUUGGUCAAUGGACGCAAGUCUGAACCAGCCAUGCCGCGUG
rnacentral:rRNA from 1 species